UACGGAGGGUGCAAGCGUUAUCCGGAUUUACUGGGCUUAAAGGGUGCGUAGGUGGGUCUGUAAGUCAGUGGUGAAAUCUCCGAGCUUAACUCGGAAACUGCCAUUGAUACUAUAGGUCUUGAAUUAUCUGGAGGUGAGCGGAAUAUGUCAUGUAGCGGUGAAAUGCUUAGAUAUGACAUAGAACACCAAUUGCGAAGGCAGCUCACUGGGGAUAUAUUGACACUGAGGCACGAAAGCGUGGGGAUCAAACAGG
rnacentral:rRNA from 1 species